rnacentral:misc_RNA from 1 species
UCGCGGCUUAUCACCGGCAGUCCCCUUAGAGUGCCCAACCAAAUGAUGGCAACUAAGGGCGAGGGUUGCGCUCGUUGCGGGACUUAACCCAACAUCUCACGACACGAGCUGACGACAGCCAUGCACCACCUGCACACAGGCCACAAGGGAACCGACAUCUCUGCCGGCGUCCUGUGCAUGUCAAACCCAGGUAAGGUUCUUCGCGUUGCAUCGAAUUAAUCCACAUGCUCCGCCGCUUGUGCGGGCCCCCGUCAAUUUCUUUGAGUUUUAGCCUUGCGGCCGUACUCCCCAGGCGGGGUACUUAAUGCGUUAGCGCCGGCACUCGGAGGGUCGCUCCCCCAAGCACCUAGUACCCAUCGUUUACGGCGUGGACUAC